AUUGAACGCUGGCGGCAGGCCUAACACAUGCAAGUCGAACGAGAGGAGGACGGGCGAGUAAUGUCUGGGAAACUGCCUGAUGGAGGGGGAUAACUCCUGGAAACGGUAGCUAAUACCGCUUACCAUCAGAUCUGCCCAGGUGGGAUUAGGUUGUUGGUGGGGUAACGGCGCACCAAGGCGACGAUCCCUAGCUGGGCUGAGAGGAUGACCGGCCACACUGGAACUGAGACACGGUCCAGACUCCUACGGGAGGCAGCAGUGGGGAAGAUUGCGCAAUGGGCGCAAGCCUGAUACAGCAAUGCCGCGUGUGUGAAGAAGGCCUUCGGGUUGUAAAGUACUUUCAGCAGGGAGGCGUUACCCGCGGAGGAAGCACCGGCUAACUCCGUGCCAGCAGCCGCGGUAAUUC
rnacentral:rRNA from 1 species